UGCUCGAGCUCAGAACUUAUUCGACUGUUCUGGCCAAGGCACUGUUAGUGGAGAGGAACCUUCGCACCUUGCCUCCAGGAGUAGGGAACCUUAGGACCUCGGCUCCACAUCGCAGACCAGCACCUACUGUACCUGUUCAACAGAACAAUAGACCUAGGCCGAUGACUUAGAUUCCUCACUAGGUUCCAACAGCAAGGCGCAGUAAGACCUGUCAACACUGUGGCAAGG
rnacentral:lncRNA from 1 species